CGGAGCGUGUGGUUUAAUUCGAGGCUACGCGAAGAACCUUACCUAGGUUUGACAUCUGGCGCUAUCCUGUGAAAGCAGGAGUUCCGCAAGGACGCCAAGACAGGUGCUGCAUGGCUGUCGUCAGCUCGUGUCGUGAGAUGUUCGGUUAAGUCCGAAAACGAGCGCAACCCCCGGGUCUAGUUACAAGUGUCUAGACCGACUGCCUGCGACAAGUGGGAGGAAGGUGGGGAUGACGUCAAGUCAGCAUGGCCUUUACAUCUAGGGCUACACACACGCUACAAUGGCGCGUACAGUGGGAAGCAAGACCGCGAGGUGGAGCGAAUCCUGAAAGCGCGUCGUAGUUCGGAUUGCAGGCUGCAACUCGCCUGCAUGAAGCUGGAGUUGCUAGUAAACGUAGGUCAGCACACUACGUUGAAUACGUUCUCGGGGCUUGUACACACCGCCCGUCAC
rnacentral:rRNA from 1 species